GACAGAGGCCCCAAGCGUUAGGCGGAAUCACUGGGCGUAAAGCGCACGUAGGCGGAUUGUUAAGUCAGGGGUGAAAUCCUGGAGCUCAACUCCAGAACUGCCUUUGAUACUGGCGAUCUUGAGUCCGGGAGAGGUGAGUGGAACUGCGAGUGUAGAGGUGAAAUUCGUAGAUAUUCGCAAGAACACCAGUGGCGAAGGCGGCUCACUGGCCCGGUACUGACGCUGAGGUGCGAAAGCGUGGGGAGCAAACAGG
rnacentral:rRNA from 1 species